rnacentral:lncRNA from 1 species
AAUUCCAAACUCUAAACCUAACACAGAAACGGCGCCCCACCCUUACACUGUUCAUCUUCCUCGCUGAGCCAAGCCUCAACUCGCCUCCCCUCUACAUCACUUUAUUCCAACGAUUUUUUUGUCAGAGAAGAAAGAAUAUUCUCUCCAAAAAUUGCACGAUUUCUGUAAGAAAGAACGAUUUGCUGGAUGAAUAGGAGGCGUGGAUGGAUGUAAAUCGAUCCAUGCCUUCCAUUUGUCCCAAAAAUCAUUCAAAAACGUGAGGAUUUUUGGAUAUUUGGGCAGAAGCUUCGAGAUUUUUUGAGGGAUAUAUAUAUAUAUAAGGUAUGUUUUCUUUUUCUAGGUGAAGAAAAAAUCGGAGAAAAUCUUUAGAUAAUUUAGUAGUGAAAUUUCUAGGGUUUUGAAGUUUUCUUCUCUUCAGCCCUUUUCUUUUCCAGUCGGCAUUUUUAGAAAACAAAACAAUAUAUAUAUACACACAAAGUGUAGUCUGAGUUUGUUUGCCGAUACAAGUUUUACUUUCUUUAGAAAGAAAUCAAAAGAGUUACAAAUCUCAGCAUUUUUCUCUUCGUUCUCUGGUUUUUUUAGAAUGGUUUUGGAUUGAAGUUCGAGUUAGAGGUUUGUGGCUGGGGUUUGGAAUGUUGGGCACUAUGGAUUUUCGUCCGAAUUUUUGGUUGCGAUUUGGAUUUGGUUGGUUGAUUUGCUGAGCUUCGUUUCUUCAUCUUAGAUUUUAAUUAGCCAUCUACGGCUGUUCUGGAUUUAUUUUAGGUAUGUCUUCUUAUUCCUAUUGUCUUCUUAUUCGACUAUGAAUAAACAUUUGAGGGCUUAUUAUACGGAUUUGCUUUGUGUUUAGUUUGAUUCCCAUUUCUUCACUUCUGCAUUUUUACGAUAAUUUGAAUGCGCCUGGUUAUCUGGUUCUGCAAAUCUCUAUUAGAUGUCACUCAUAGAACACAUUUGACAUAUGGUUAGUCCAGAGUAAGUUUUAACUAAACUGCAUUUGUUUGUUCCAUUUAAGGACAGUAAAUUGAGCUAACAUGUAUUAUUUGGUCGCUUGAACUCAUUGGAGUCGUGUUCAAUCAUAACUGUAGUAUUCAAGAGUUAAAAAAUGUUUACACCUACCAAAUUGGUUGAUACUCAUCAUGCUAAGUCUUGUUCGAUUAUCUCUUUUUUUUGAAACGAAAUAUGAAUCAACAUCCAAGUCUACUGCAUUUGUUAUGUUUGAAAAGAAUGAUUUUUUGAUUCUAUUUUGUAUCUCUCAUUGAGUAAUGUGGUUUUACAAGAUGGAAAUUGGGUGAAAGCAUGUGAAAUUUUCAGAAUUUAGCAAAAGUGUUGGGAUGUUCUAACUAUGAUUUUAAUUAGUUUCACAUGAUGCAGCUUUGUGAUUUGAUGAUAAUUGCUUUGGAUCUGUUGUAACUAUGAGCCAGCUUGAGAAAGUAGCUAGUAUGGACAGAACACCACUGUCUUGCAAUUGAUAUUUUCUUUAACUGGAAAUGUUGGUUAUGUCAUUAAAUUGAAGAGUAAUAGCCAUGUGUAUUGUUCUAUAAUUAACCCUUUUAAUUUGUUGUAUUGUGGAAUGUGAGACCGUUGGGUUUCUUUGUAUUGCGUCGUGGGGAAGGACAUGACAUGUCCAAAUCUUGCGAAUAAUACUCUGUGCAUUUCACUCGUGUCCUUCUCUUGAACUAUUAAAUCCAAGUCCGUUAAUGAGAAUUUUGUUUCUAAUGCUUUCCUUCAGCUUUAGCUUCUUCUUUUCCAUCUUCCCGUGUCUCCUAUAGAGAUAUUCUUUAACAAUGAAAUAAAACAAUUUUCCUUCAUUCAUUUGCUAGCCCUAGAAUAAUAUCGUUGAGAGUUAUUUUUGUAUGUAAAUAUUGAAAAUUUUCUUGCGUUUAAUAAAUUGGAUUCAUGUUGUAGGCCACUAGUAGUUGGACAUUCUUUUAAUUACACUGCAUAUGCCGUUAAUUGACGUAUAUUUGAUAUAUUCGAUUUGUGGGUUUUAUGGGUGCACACGAGUUCAAUAGUGAAG